rnacentral:lncRNA from 1 species
UUAGACCUCAGAGUUCUUAGUUGGAGAAGAACUAGUAAGUGUCCGAGAAGCUAGAGAAGGCUGUGGAGAGUAACGGAAGACUUCGUUGUGUAACUAGCUUCCUUGAGACCUUCUGUAGGUUUCUAAUCAGUGAGUAUCUUGUUUGUGUUAGUCAUCUAUGGGUUUCCUAUGAGUCUUUGCAUACUGUUAAGUUCUAGUUGUCAUAGUUACAGUUUAUGAAUCCAGGUGAAAUCGUCCUUAUGAAAUAUGGAAAACUAUCGCAUGUAAUUAUCUGCAUGUGCAUGUGAGUGACAUGAAACAAACACGACUUCCUUGGUGUACAAACUCAGUAGGAUAAGAUGGGCCAUUGGUAAGGCAUGUUAGUUGCUAACUAGAUUAACAGAUGUGAUAGACCACUGGUAUGGCAUGUUAGUUACUAACCAGAUUGGUGUGUGUUGGGUCUCUAGUAGGACAUGUUAGUUGCUAACCAGCCUGACAAUAUGGGUAUUACCAUCGGUAGGGCAUGUUAGUUGUUAACCAUGGCAAAGAGCCCUGAACUUAUGGGAACAUGCAUGUGAUCGAAAUAACGUGGAUUAUGGUAUUUGUUUUGAUGUGUAAAUAUGGGAUCAGAGGUUAGCACAAGGAAAGGAGAGAAAAAGAGUAAGAAAAUGUAAAUUCUGAUUUGUUGUUUGUAAUGCAUGUUAUGUAUAUUUGAAGAGAGGAAUGAGACACUAAGUAGGAAUGUUUGAUAAUGUAAUUGCAGUGUAUGAUAGUGGUAAAUCUUUAAUCAUGUUACUGUGUUGAGUACGUAGCGUAUCCGCUAAGUAGUUGUGCUUGGUGUACAAUAUCUACCCUAGUGAAAUUGAAUUCGGUAACCGUGUAAGUACUAGUCAAUUAAUAUGUCUGAGCUAGUAAGGGUAAGUGUUGGUAGCAUUCGCGUUCCUUAAGGGAAGUAUUUGUUCUGUUGAUGUUAAGGCAACUGUUCUCUGGGAAGUAGGGGCAAAAGGUAUUCACCCAGUAAUAGAGUUAGCCUGGGAAUACUAUUCGCCAAAGAUAGGUAUUCGCCAUUGAUAUAUGUGUGAGGGUAUAUGCCCAAAUGUCUCUGCAUGUAGAAUGUUGACUUAAUAAGUUAUAAAUAUGUAUAUAUAUGUUGUAUUAUCCCUGCUCUUGUAACUUGAUUGGAAAGGGUCGAGCAUUUUUAAAUUUUGGAGCUUACUAAGUUCUUUCGAACUUACUCUCUUUCUUUCCCUUUUCCAAGUGGUACCACGACGUAAAGGGCUUGUUGAAAGGACUCAACCAGAAAAAGUGACCUCUGUUGUGAGCAUCACCUAUAUUUGUUUUGUAACUUGCAUAUGUAUAUUUUGGGGUGACGCGAAAUAUCAAUCUUGUAUUUUGAAAGAAAGUAUAUGUUUCUUUCUAUGAAUAUAUUUUACAAACUGUUUGGCGCACUCUGAAUAGCCUAUUUGGCGAAUAGUAUUGAAGUACCCUGUUUUUC